rnacentral:tRNA from 1 species
UCCCUGGUGGUCCAGUGGUUAGGACUUGGCACUUUGGCUGCCAUGGCUUGGGUUCAAUCCCCGUUCAGGGAA